CUCAGCUGGUGUUGCGCGGCCAGGGUGCUGGGGCAUCCGGACUCACCACCGCCACCGGUGAUCUAGCAUGGGAUAGGGGACAGUUGUAAUCCCAUGAGCAUGGGUGCCAUUAAGAAGAUGGUGGAGAAGCAACUACCUGGAAUUUACGUCUUAUCUUUAGAGAUUGGGAAGAACAUGAUGGAGGAUGUGGCGAACAGCUUCUUCUUAAAUGUCAAUUCCCAAGUAAGGGUAGUGUGUGAAAUUCUUGCUAAGGGUCCUAAGCUGCAGCAAGGCUACAAUGCUAUAGGAUUCUCCCAGGGAGGCCAGUUUCUGAGGGCAGUGGCUCAGAGAUGCCCGACGCCUUCCAUGAUGAAUCUGAUUUCAGUUGGGGGACAACAGCAAGGUGUCUUUGGACUCCCUCGAUGCCCAGGAGAGAGCUCUCAUAUCUGUGACUUCAUCAGGAAAAUGCUCAGUACUGGCACUUACUCCAAAGUUGUUCAAGAAUGCCUGGUGCAAGCAGAAUACUGGCAUGACCCCAUAAAGGAGGAUGUGUACCGCAACCACAGUGUCUUCUUGGCAGACAUAAACCAAGAGAGAAGUGAGUGUCAAUGAAUCCUACAAGAAAAACCUGAUGGCCCUCAAGAAGUUUGGGAUGGUGAAAUUCCUCAACGAUUCCAUUGUGGACCCUGUAGUGUCUGAGUGGUUUGGAUUUUAUAGAAGCGGCCAGGCCAAAAAACUAUUCCCCUCCAGGUGACCACUCUAUACACAGAGGACCGCCUGGGACUAAAGGAAAUGGACAAAGCAGGGAAGCUAGUGUUUUUGGCUACAGAAGGGGACCAUCUUCAGCUGAAUGAAGAAUGGUUUUAUGCCCAUAUCAUACCCUUUCUUAAGUGAAGCCCUUGUAGUUUCUAAGUGCUCAGGAGACCCUAGAUCUUCAAACUAUAUGGACAGUUCACA